GCGGAGAGAGGACUACAGGCUGCGGGUAUUUGCAGCCAGAUCAAAACGCAGACAACACCACAGAGCGCGCGGGGGGGGGGAGGAGAACAUUGUUAUCCUGCUGCACGAGGACAUCAUCUCCAGCCUUCUCACCGGGGGAGUGCGAGUAGAUAUAUAUUCAAUCGGAACGGGGAUGUCUGUGAAACUUCAUAUAUGCUUUUCCUCAAACUUAGAGCAGGGAGCGGAUCGAUCUGCCCGCCAGUAGCGCGCACAGAGUGGCGGAGAGCGGCGGAGCGGGGCGCGCAUCGCUCCGUUUUUAUUUACGCGCAAAGGGGAAAGAGUGAUCAGACAAUACCGGGACUCCUGGACGAUGAGUGGAAAUUACAAUUGGAAUUACUGUUGACAUGAAAACUACAAUGCAUUGAGCAUCUACUGCUUCUAAUGGAGGGAGCAACAUUUUGAACACGCCUGAUAAGGAGAUGGCCUUGGAUUCUGUUUCUGUUGUAAAGCUGUGUCCAUGCAAUCACAUCUCCCCAGUUAGCAGGAGGCUGUGAGGAUGAGGAUGUGUUCGGAGCCCCAGGCACUGCGCAGGUGUGAAAAUGGAGUCCUGACAUCAGGUGGUUCUUCCACCUCAUAAUCUUCACCCUAUUCACUGU